UACAGAGGGGGCAAGCGUUGUUCGGAAUUACUGGGCGUAAAGGGCGCGUAGGCGGCCUUCUAAGUCGAACGUGAAAUCCCUGGGCUCAACCCAGGAACUGCGUCCGAUACUGGAAGGCUUGAAUCCGGGAGAGGGAUGCGGAAUUCCAGGUGUAGCGGUGAAAUGCGUAGAGAUCCGGAAGAACACCGGUGGCGAAGGCGGCAUCCUGGACCGGCAUUGACGCUGAGGCGCGAAAGCCAGGGGAGCAAACGGG
rnacentral:rRNA from 1 species